UUCUCCGGAGCUGCUUCUGUCCAUGUUGAGUGAUAGCUCGCGUUGAGCUUCAUCCACCAUAGCCCUGGCUUCGAGUAAUUCCUGCUGGGAUUCGGAAAUCUCGGAUAGCCUGUCCUCCAGCUGUCUAGCAUACUCCUUGGCACGGCGUGCCUCGGCCUCCUGCCUCUCGAUGUCGGCAAGCGCCGCUCUUGCUCGGUCGACACGUAGCGACGCCUGGUCCAGCCCGUCGAGCAGGUGCUUGUUCUCCUCUCUGCCGAGGAGCUCCUCCAUCAUGCCCGACACACCGUCGUCCAAAGGGCCCCUUGCUCCCUCGGAGGCAAGACAUCGGAACCGGAGGCGGGGAGGAGAUCCAACGAAGGUAAGUUGGGGAUGGGAGGAAAAUGGCGGGAGGGGGCGGAGGAGCACCAGAGAUGUCGG
rnacentral:misc_RNA from 1 species